rnacentral:rRNA from 1 species
GGCACAGACAGCCAGGAUGUUGGCUUAGAAGCAGCCAUCAUUUAAAGAAAGCGUAAUAGCUCACUGGUCGAGUCGGCCUGCGCGGAAGAUGUAACGGGGCUAAACUGUGCACCGAAGCUGCGGCAGCAACACUAUGUGUUGUUGGGUAGGGGAGCGUUCUGUAAGCCUGCGAAGGUGGCCUGUGAGGGUUGCUGGAGGUAUCAGAAGUGCGAAUGCUGACAUAAGUAACGAUAAUGCGGGUGAAAAGCCCGCACG